GUCAGCGUUGCGUCGAGGUUGCCGUCCGUAUUGGUUGAAGAGCCGCGAAGGUGGGCGGCAGAAGUGGGUGGAAAUUCCGAGAGGCGAGAGGGGAAAUUUAUCCGGAAUUGUUUUUUCUCGAAGCCAGAGUGGGUAAUUGAGAAAAAUUGAACCUGUCCGGGGAGAUGGGAAGAAAGCGGGUAUUUCCGGAGGAGCCUAAGCCUUUGGCAGGUCGUCGCCUUUCAGAAAUUAGAAAAGAUAUUAGACCCGUCAAGCGUUUGAUAACGAAGCAUCUUCUCUGAAAUUGUACGGACAAGAAUAUUUACACUUGCAAUUGAUUUAAUGUGGGAACGGGAAUAACGUUUUCCGAGCUGUUACGAGUGUGUUGACCUCAAAAAUGUUCGCGUUCGCCGCGACAAUAAAAUUAACGCGUUGCCGCGCGUGAGAAGAGGAAUGAGCAUAAUGUAGCAAUACUAAUUUCUUUCAUUUCGCGUGCCGUUGCGAAACUGUAAGGUGAAACGGUAUCGAAUUUGCGCGAAAGUCGCACGGUAGGCCGCCUUAAAAAUCGCUCGAGGACCCAAGCGCUCGAGCAUUCCUCGAGCACGCCGCGCCGGUAGUUACGAGACACUGGAUAACUUUACCGUUCGCUCAUCUUUCUUCCACACAUCGUUAAAUCCCUAAAUUAGAUGGAACCUGCCUCCUGAGGCGUGAAAGGACUUGUGCCGCGCACGUUAAGUGAUCCUAAUGGAACGUAUACGAAUAACCCCACGAGAGUAUACUUUUCAAUCGCUUUGCAAGCUUGGAGAUUAUCGAUUCGUAAGAAAAGUUCGAUUAAAUGUCAUCGUUUGUUUGCAAUUUUAGGGGUCAAGUAUUUUUUUCGAUAAUUAAGCCGAAGCAUGUGUCUCCUCGUUGGAAUAAAGUUACUCGAGAUUAAUUGUUAGCAAGAUUGAUUAUUUUAUUACUUGAUUCCGGGAUGUAAUAUUCUCUGGUAAGUAAAUUGUAUAAA